CAAAAUAUCUAGAUAUAUAUUAUUGUGUAGGGUAGAUGAGGAGAAUAGAGUUGGGUCUAAUGGAUCAAAAUAUCUAGACAUGAUGUCAGCACCAGACUACCAGAUGAUUGUCAACUGUCCCUUCAACGAGAUUCAGGAAGAAAAUGGUUAUUUACUUCCGGACAAAAUCAGGUCUCCUGUCAAUAAAGAUGAAACUAAGGAGGAGAAUGGGUAUCUAAUACCAAACAAUAAGCAUGAGAGUGUUGCCUAAAGGCCGAGAUGUCCAAUUGUGUACCUUCUAUUCUUGCAACCUGAGUACAUUUUUGAUAUUGUAAACACUUGCAUUUUGAACUGUAAAGUACAGAUCAGGUAGACAAAGAGGCAGAGUUGACGCGUACCUGGCCUCUGACCUGUCGGUAUGUGUCGUGUGAAAGUUAUCAAUACCGCAAUGUUCAUGUAAAAUGCACAAUGGGCUUAAAGAAAGAAAAUAUUUGUAUUUCUCUAAUUACUGAUACCGAGUUCUAGCCGCGCUCCCUCCCCGGACCAGAACCACUGAGCCCAGUUUGGAGAGUUUUUGUGCAGAUAACAUGUUCAAAAACCCCAAAAUAUACACCUUGAUUGAUUGAUUGAUUUAAACACCCUCAACUAAGCUUUUGGUACAUUCUGCAGUAAUUUGUAGUACUGUGACCGAAUAUAAAGUAGCGUUUAGUGGACAGUGCGAAAGAUACUGCUAUAUGUAGCUGUAUGAUUAAUAAAUCCCGUCCGUGCUUCAUGGAUAGGGCGGUCCCAUCAACGCUGCCUCUUGUCUACCUGAUCUGUGGUGUUACCGUGUUAUGUGAUUUUUUAGAUCAGUGUCAUCCGAAUAAAAGAAUUUUUUACAUAAAUGUUGUCAAUCCCUAUAAAUUGAUCCAUGGACCGACCAGUCUAAAAUUAUCAUACUGUGUAUGCGUUUAUGUUGGUUCCAGCCGUUCCAGUGUACCCAGUAGCACGUUCCAGUGUACCCGGUAGCACGUUCCAGUGUUCCCAGUAGCACGUUCCAGUGUACCCGGUACCACGUUCCGGUGUACCAGUAGCACGUUCCAGUGUACCCAGUAGCACGUUUCAGUGUACCUAGUACCACGUUCCGGUGUACCAGUAGCACGUUCCAGUGUACCCAGUAGCAAGUUCUAUGCCGAUAAUAUUAGCUGGCUGGAUUCGUGUCAAGACAAUAUUACCUUUUCUAGAAAUUUCCAUAAAGUUUAAAAUUUUUUGUUACAAUAUGAACAUCUGGGAAAUGUUAAAGAAUCUUUUGACAAUCGGUGUUCUUUUUACCGAUAAAGGAAUACUUUACUAGCUGGUAUUACAACCUGUGGACAAUGUAUUUAAAUAAAUAAAUGUAUCUAAAGUAUGUUAAAUGUAUCUACAGUAUGUUAAAUGUAUCAGCACAAAAUAUUUAUUCUUAAAUGUGAAUAUUUUAUCUCUUGCUGUUUUCUUUUCAUUAUCAAUAGUAUCCAUUUGUAAAUGAUUUCAAUGUAAAUAAAUAAUAAAUCUU